CCCUAGCAAGCUCACACCUUGACGUGGUGCUGGGGUUCAGUAGCCUGGUUUAUGCUAGGUGAAGCCAAGACGAGC
rnacentral:ribozyme from 1 species